GGGCAAUUGGUCUAGAGGUAUGAUUCUCGCUUUGGGUUUGUCUUAUCGACAAUUCUCUUGCGAGAGGUCCCGGGUUCAAUCCCCGGAUUGCCCC